rnacentral:rRNA from 2 species
AUANNUGCAGUCGACGAACUCUGGUAUUGAUUGGUGCUUGCAUCAUGAUUUACAUUUGAGUGAGUGGCGAACUGGUGAGUAACACGUGGGAAACCUGCCCAGAAGCGGGGGAUAACACCUGGAAACAGAUGCUAAUACCGCAUAACAACUUGGACCGCAUGGUCCGAGCUUGAAAGAUGGCUUUGGCUAUCACUUUUGGAUGGUCCCGCGGCGUAUUAGCUAGAUGGUGGGGUAACGGCUCACCAUGGCAAUGAUACGUAGCCGACCUGAGAGGGUAAUCGGCCACAUUGGGACUGAGACACGGCCCAAACUCCUACGGGAGGCAGCAGUAGGGAAUCUUCCACAAUGGACGAAAGUCUGAUGGAGCAACGCCGCGUGAGUGAAGAAGGGUUUCGGCUCGUAAAACUCUGUUGUUAAAGAAGAACAUAUCUGAGAGUAACUGUUCAGGUAUUGACGGUAUUUAACCAGAAAGCCACGGCUAACUACGUGCCAGCAG